rnacentral:rRNA from 1 species
CACGUAGGGCGCAAGCGUUGUCCGGAAUUAUUGGGCGUAAAGGGUGUGUAGGUGGCGCUGUAAGUCGGGUGUGAAAUUUCGGAGCUUAACUCCGAAACUGCAUUCGAUACUGCGGUGCUUGAGGACUGGAGAGGAGACUGGAAUUCAUGGUGUAGCAGUGAAAUGCGUAGAGAUCAUGAGGAAGACCAGUGGCGAAGGCGGGUCUCUGGACAGUUCCUGACACUGAGACACGAAGGCCAGGGGAGCAAACGGG